UUAAAGUUUAAAUAAUUUGGUGACUGGCUGCAGUUGAAGUCUCAGAUAAGCCGAAAGGGAUCGCUGUAGGCGCUGCUAAAGAGUGUGUGCACACACUCUGUCACGUGCUUCUUACGCUCUGAAACCCCUCCGGAGAGCAAAGAGUGAUGACGGCGUUACACAGUGCGAGCACACUCAGACUUUAGACAGGAGAGUCACAGAAAGGAGAGGAGAAAAGGGAGAGAGAAGGUUGGACGCAGGAAGCGGCCUCUACAUGACAGACUGAUGAGAUGAAACUGAUAUGAUAGACCUGUUCAGAGAGUCCGCUUCAAAUCGGAACUUUCUUUAAGAGUUUUCAAAAGUCUCUCUUUUUUUUUAAAUAUUUGUUAUGUAAAAUGCAACUUAAUUAGUAAAGUAGGAGCAUGUUUCUUUAUUAAUAGAAGCUCAUUUUUUUUAGUGAACUGAUUUUUAAUUUUUUUUAAUUUUAUCGUAUUUAGUAAGAUGUUUGUUGUAAGAGUUGGAGAGUGUGUGUCAUGUUGUCUCGAUGCGUUUUGUUUCAGAGUCGGGUCCCUGGAGUAGGAGCCAUAAUUUGAAGACCCCACCGCCUUUAAAAGGAGCGGAGUUACAGCAGCUGCCACCGCCUCUCAGCACCGCGCAGAUAAAGAAGGAGAUCCAUGAUGUGGACAUCUUCUCAAGUCACCAAGCAAUGAACACACAGUCCUUCAAGCUCCAAACACACUACAAACACACUUCAUUUUCAUUUACUUGACUUAAUUGUCAGUAAUUGCCUCCUUCCUCAUUUUUGUGAAUGCCUUUUAUGAAUGACCACUUUGUAAUUAUCAAAUUGGUUUGUGUUCUGGAACAGAAAAAAACAAACAAACAAAUGAUCUGGAACCUGAUGAGCUGUUAUGAGUUUUAAGGGGAACAAGUUUGUUUUCUCUUUACUUCUUCAGUGACUUAAAUGACGAUGCAUGGUGUGAGAGUGAGUGUGUGCUUCCUCUUGAUGGGGUUUCUGUACCCAUGCACAUCCCACCCUCACUGCCCACAACCCCCCCGCCAAGCUGAAUGGCAGACCUCUGGAAUUGGCUAAGUGAUGAAAUGAUGACCCCAUUAUGAGAAGUGAUUCCAAAAUGAGAAGUAUCAGACAAAGACUGCACACCCCUCUCUGCCUCCCUCUCUCUCUCUGCCUCCCUCUCUCCCUCUCUUUCUCUCUCCCUCUCUCUCUCUUUCUCUCUAUCUUUUUAGCUGCAGCACCGUCCUCCAGCAGCCUGCCAGCUGAGCAAAUGAUGAUUGAUUUGCCUGAGAAGGAUCACAGGAAGCAACCAUUGAUUUCUUUCUCUUUUUUUUUCUGUUUUCUUCUUUUGGUGUUUUAUUAGAAAUAUUUAUUUACCCCUGUAUCUGUGGGGUGUAUCAAGAUUCACUUCGUAUGGCAGAAGCUAUAAGUGGGAUAAUUCACACUUCUUCAUCUGAAGACGGACGACCUGAAGUUCUGUAUUCCUUCAGAAAUGAGUCAGUAGAGCCACUGAGUAAAUGAAUAUUGAUUGAAUAAUGCCUGAGUGUGAAUAUGAGCUCUUGCAGUGACCCUUCCUUCAGUCUUAACUACAGACAUCCUUAGUGAUGUCAAAAUUUUACAACAACAUAUCUUAUGAAGGGACAGCUAAAAAAAGUCUUAUAUAGUACAUUUAUUUCGGAAAUACAUUUUAAAAAGUGAGCAUUAUAUUAUUCAUAUUCAUUGUUAUUCAUUGGAUAUAUUCCAGACAGUUAAUUAUGUUAACUUUGAUAAUUAUACCUUGCAGCUAAUAAAAACCUAAAAUUAAAUUUCUCCAAAAAUUCAUAUUGGAAACACAAAUUAAAUGUAAUUAAUGUAUUUUUUUCUUCACAAUUCUCUCAAGGCAUAGCUUGAGACAGACUUUCUUCUGUCACACUUUUUCCUUCCACUAAACUUUUCAAUAAUAUGUUUGGAUACAGCUAAUUGUGAAGAACUACCCUCUUUAGAAAUGGCUUGAUGUAGAUUAUCUGUUUGUUGAGGGUGUCAGUGCUUAUUUGCUACAUACAGUAUACAUGUUAAGUUAGCUGAAGUCCUCUACAGGAUUUUGUGUUCCAUACCAUACCUAUAAAAUAAUAUUUGUGUAUUCAUUUGUUUGUUUGUUGUGUAACAAUAUAAUUGUCUGCAAGACUAAAUUUUGGGGUUUUGCUGUAAGCUGUAAUCAUCAAAAUGACCAGAAUUGAUUCAAAUAUAUUAAUUAGUGUUUAUUUAAUCUAUAUAAUAACUGUUUACUUUUUAAAAAUGUAAUUACUGAGAUAAAUAACUUUUUAAAAUAUUUUAUAUACAAGCUUUGAGACACACCUGUACGCUACAGCUGGAAACCAAAGAAGAAGAAAAACAUGAGCAGUUAUUCCCCCUUCUCUCUGGUAGUACUUGUUUGUUUCAGCUUAAUUGAUCCAACCAGAAGUACAUUUUGUUUUGAAGAUGCCAUCACGUAAUAAUCCCAUUCUACCUUAAAGCUCAUGAGAUGCGCACGAAGGAGGAAAGUCUGCUGCUUCACAAAACGUAAGGCGAUACAAUGUGCAAAUCCAAUGAGUGCCAAAACACUGAAACCACAGUGUGGGAGCAGUGUCCCAGAUAUUUGCUCUGACUUAAUCCAAUUGAAAUAGUAUGAGUGAGUUGCAGGGGCUCCCAGGUCUGUUUCUUGCUUAUGUAUGUGAUGCAUAAUAGAAGUUGACGAGGUUGGUGAUAGAUCACAGCCCAGGUAAUGUAAACACAUUAAUCCCUCAGGGUUCAUGUGCAUGUUCUUUCUCUUGUUUGCUCUCUUCUAUCUGCCUCUCCUUAUACUGAGACCCAGACCCACCUCAACUCCAACCCACCCACCUCAGCCCUACCUCCACCUCCACUACCCCCUCCACACCCCCACUUACUCCCCAGUGUUCAUCAUCUUCCCUAAAUGCGUUAGUGGAGCACAAACCAGAAGCAGCCUUAAUCUGUCAACAUGCCCUUUAAUUGGAAGGAGAAAACAACAUGUGCUCCUGGUUGUGCCAUUCCUAAAUGCACAUGCCAAAGAAAUACAGCGGUCACGGAAGAAGUGAUCCCGGGAGAGUGGGGCAUAAUUAAAAGUAUCUUUUAAUAAGCUUGUAAUGCUGAGCCUGACUCUUGUUGCCCUAAGCAGAGUGCAAAAAUCUGUGGCUGGAGACGGACAUGUGAAGGGGGCUUCUCUAAGGGAGCCUGUAAACGAUACACUGCCUCCACCGUCAUCAGACAUGCUGUCUCCGCCUGAGUCACCGCGCUGAGGACAACAGCCACUUUCAGCCCCUGCUGCGGACACGUCGGCUCACCAGCUAACCGUGUUCCUUUGUUCUCCGAAUGAGAGAUUCUCCUCCCCAACACAUCAGCUCUCCAACUCCCCGUCCCCCGUGUAGCUUUGCCAACUUCUGCUCUACCUCCAACUCACAACACCAGUGGGGAGUGAGAACUGGGAUUAAGGGGUUGAUUUUGGGCCUGCUACACUGUAAUCAAAUGAGACUGCUUAGGGGAGAGGAGAAGAAGGAGGAGGUGGAGUAUUAUGUUCUGUAACGCAUUCCACUGCAGCUGUUUUUUUUUUUUGUUUUUGUCAGGGCAGACUUUGAUGCCGUAUCCCCUUACCUUUGUAGUCCCGGUAGCCAUGUUUCAUAAACACAGAAUAGGAAACAUCCUCGGCAUUAGAAAUGUAGAUUGCCGCUUUCCUCUCCGCCACUCUGCAUUCCGCACAUGCCCGGUCGCAUUCUCCAUCUCCCAGCACCGGGGUAUUAAGUUUCGUCUCCCCUGCCUCUGAUACAUUUAAACAUCUCACAAUCAGCCCCAGUGAUUUAGAGUGUCAUGUAUAAUCUGCGGCAACAACAAUGCCAGCUUCACUUUAUAUCCUUGUAAGUGUUGUAUUUUUUUCACUUUUUAUUUUCUGUUUCAGGACAGCUGCACUUGCUAAAACACUUAAUUCAUGGAGGCCAAGAAGCUAGCAUUAGAGCAAUUUCGAAUUUGUCUUCAUGAUUGAGGAUAUUAUAUUAAUACCGAGCUGCUCAUUCUGUAGAGUCCCCUCUUGCUUUGUAUUAUCACACAGGGAAUUGUCUGGUCUCACUUCUCUUUGUAGUUAACUGAAACCCUCCAUGGGAUUGAGUGUAAUUGUAUUUCUAAAUCUAACUCAUUAAAAGCCAAACUCUUCAGUUCUCCUGCCCACAUAUCAUAUUUUUGUCUCACUGCAGUCUUUACGUUAUUCCCUACUCUCAUGAGAGUACUUUCACACAUGAUUUAAUAUUUAAAUGUCAGUCCUGUGAAUCAUUUAAAAUAAUUCAAUUAUCCCCCACAUGAGUUUUUUUUUUUUAUGACAAGGUACAGAGUCCUCUUUUUUUUCUUCUUCUUUUUUACCCAUCAGAAAUGUUCUCCGUUGUCUUCUUCUGUUUUGUCCAACAUCUGACACACUGCCCUCGGUGAUUGAACCAGAUGUGGAAAUCCAAAGAGGAGAUGCUCCCCCUAAUACCUGACACCUGCUGCAGAUUUGGAAGGGAUUGCACUGCAGGUACUGCCUUACCUUUUCACCAAUCCCUAAAAGUCCCUGAGGUAUUUCCUUUCCUGUCCGGGGCUGUGUUUGUCUCUGCUCUGCUUUGCCACCCAGCUAUCCUGCCUGUGUCAGUCGGCCCCUGUGUGUUGGGAUUAGGGCGAGAGGGUGUUGAAAUAUGAUGCCUACCAUCCGUUAGAUACAUGCAGUUCUGAUUUGUCCGGAUAUUUGUUUGGCCUAAAAGAUUUCAGGAGGAUUAAUAUGUUUCUCAGCGGUAUCCCAGGCUUUCAGGGGUUUAAAUAAUACUUUGUUGGUGAGGUAGAUUUGAAAAUGUAAUAUAAAGGUACUCAUUUUACAUUUAUUAAUAUCUUUAAACAGUGAACACAAGAAAAAUUAAAUAUCAUGUGUAUUUCAAUUUGAUUGUACUAAACCAAGGUGCUGCUGUGAAUAUUUACCUAUUUUCCCAACUGUGUGUAAUUCUGUUGUACUUUUCUCCAGUUACACCAACACCCUGGGUCAGGAGAUGAUUUAAAACCAAAUGUGUUGUUUUCUGGAGUUCCUUCUCAUCUGCAGGCUGCAUUGGGACAGAACAAAAAGCCAACAUCAACACAUAAAGGACAUCAAAUCCUGGCAAACCUGUGAUAUCUGAGCUAGGUGAUCACAAUGCACCUUCGUGUCAUCUGACCCGGGAAUGGGCAGGCAUUAUUUGGACCAAGUUGGAACAUUAUGCUCAAGAGCUGCAAAACAGACCAGAUACAACUAGUGGUACAGCGCUGUGCAUAUUUUGUCAUGUUAUCACCAAAAUUUAAAUGUAUUUCAAGAAAAAUAAUACAUAAUUUUUUUAAUAUUUCACUUAGACAAAUCUAACACUUUUACCAUAUAUUUGCAUUUAGCUGCCUGAGUCAGCUCUUUGUAGAACCACAUUUUGCUGCAAUUUUCAGCGAAACUCUUUUGGAGAAUGGCUCCACCAGCCCUCUUUAUCAACAGAAAGCAAUUUUUGCCAAUUUCUCUUUGUAGUUUAAUCACGCUCAUUUUGGAGCAUCAGCCAUUUUGAUGCCACAAACACUGCCAAUUUACUUUUGAGCUGGAAUUUGGCUAGAACAUGCAAAACCUGAAUGCAUUUGAUUUAAACUAUUUAUUUGUAGGUCUAGCUGUAUCUUAGGGGUCAUAAUCUAUUUGGAAAGUUAACCUCACCCCAGCCUGAAGCCAUUAUGGGGUAGGGUGUGUGUGGUGUUAGUUUUGUUCCACACGAGUUAUGUACGCAGGUCAAAAAUUAAUAAUGUUGGUUUUGUCUGACCAAAGAACCUUCUAUUGAAAGUCUGGUACAUGACUUCAUACAGGGUUCUUUCCACAAAGGGUUUCUUUUUGUUAUUCCUUGUUAGUGUCUGUACUUUUCAAGCAUACAACUAAUAGUUUCCCUGUCAGUGGAUUAUCCCUCUUGAGUUGUUGAUCUCUGUUACUCAUCCAGAGAGACCAUAAACCUUUUGCUGCUUUUCUGAUUAAAGUUCCCCUUGCCAGGGCUUUUAAAUUUA